AGUUUUCUCGCUGAAAACUUCCUGCAAAAUAUUAUCAUGCAAAUGGAGUUGAAUUUGUGACAAAGCCUUACGGUCCCUUCGUUUCUCCUCAGGAGUCCAAUCCUCUAUUCUAUUCUUCCCAAAACUGUCCAGUGCAUCAUCGUAGUCGGCCUGCGCCAACAAUGCCCGCAUAUUGACUUGCCAUAGGGUAAACCUUGUGUCACGGUCCAGCAGCGGAAGAUCGUACUUCAUGAAAGCCAUGAAUAGAUAAAUCUGUGUACACAAAGUAGUACAAGCCGGCAGAAAAUUCUUGACAGAAUUAAUAUGCGGAUCAAACAGAAUAGGAUAAAUAUCACCUGGUAGCUCUCGGGUAGAUGUAGCAAUUGAAGGAAUAAAAACGGAUCUACUAGUAACUAGUACUAGUCUGGUGGCUUCACGUGGACCUGGUAGCUUUGCUUGAUGGAAGAAUCCAAAACAGCACAGCGGCUCGGCUCAGCAGCUUGCUGAACAGCGGAACAACGUCGGAUCAGCCUGGUUUCCUCGGGACUUGAACGAGCAGAGCAACUCGCGAUGGGUAACAGCGGCGGCUUCGGCCACUAGCAGGGAUACGACGUACGCCAACUCGCCUGUAGCGGCUCGGCUUAUGACGCAGCGUACGGCGGCUGCUGCGGAAAACGAAUCCCAGUCGGAAUCGCCGGUACGUCUGGCGGCGGUCGUAACCCUAGCUCUCGUCUCAAAUCUCGUAUUCGUAAAACCUCGUCUCUGUUACCAUUUGUUAGAUAAAACGAGAUCAACGAGACACGAGAGACACGGAUUUUUAUGUGGAAACCCUUGCGGGAGAAAACCACGGACGCACGAAGGCGCAAUCACUAUGAGGGUGGAGUAUUACAAGCACGAGACGACAUGCCGUCUUUAGGUGCGACUACAUGGAGUAUAUAUGAGGGGCAAUACAUGAGAGUCCUUGGAGGCCAAGUAAACGAGUUGUACUCAUACGCGUCGGUACCAACGCAAAGGCCCACACCGUUUGUACUACGUCUAGUCCAAUACGGUAGAAUUUGGAUCACAAUUUAACAAGACCCAUACUACUACCCUAUCAAGCGCUUGAAUUCCAAUGCAUCGACCGGACUAAUCAUUUGUUUGGCUCCUUUAACCAGGCUAAAUCACUUGCAAGACAUACAAGCCAGCUUGUUCCAUACUUUUUUAGGAAAGCAACCAAACAACUUUCAAGAGAUUAUCAGGCACUCUUCGUACCAGGCAGAAUAGCAUCAGGUCACGAACCAAACUAGUCCACAAUGCACAUAUUUCGGGUGUCUCCCAUUGCUAAACCCAUGUACAUCAAGUUUUAAUGCCACACUGUGCAGAGAAACUGCCCCUCAAGCACACACUGAACUACCAAUUUUAGCCUCAAGUGCAGCAACUAUGUGAAGUCUCACAUUUAUAGUAAGAGAGUGGGAGAUGCCGUGAGAUAAUUGUACUCUCCCUACACACAUUCAAUGUGUCUCUGAGUGGUAGUACUUUAUAGAUGAAUAGUCUUCCAGGGAUGGGAUAUGUAAGAAUUAUGAUCUCAUAGCAUAGUUAGGAAGGAUUAGCUUGGGUCAAGUAUCUCUAGCAAAUUAUUUCUAGGUUAGUUUUUCUUCCAGAGUUACUGUGAAGAUUCCAUAUAUCAAAACCUGGUUGGUAGUGCAUUACUUCGGUGAUACAAACCUGGCCAAUACAGAACAUUUGAUGAGGUUUAUUAAUAGAGAUUUUUUCCGGUACAUUGGACAACGGAUUACUGUGUAGUACAUCAUACUAUUAAAAUUAGUGUGUAGUAUUUGAUGGGGUCAUCUACUAGUGGUAGGGUCAUAGACCGGACAUCCAGGGCCCAUCUAGGGCUCCAUACGGUCAUAGAAGUCAGGAUCCAUACACCAGCACUCGAACAAAGACAAGAGUGAACGACGUGAUAGCUUCAACGGUCGAGGGACUUAAAACCAUACAUGAAGUGCAGUCAAGACUAGCAUUAUCAGUAAUAGUAGUAGUUAGAGUUGUACUUUCUAGUAACGCAUGUAGUUACUCACAUUAAAUGCCCUUAUAAUGACGCUCGAUCGGUCUUGGCGGACUCUAUAUAAGCCAACCCCAAGGUCUAUGACGAGGGUUCAACAUUCGUUGUAAUCAGACACCACCAGAUAAAACACAAGCCUCCGAGCACGAGAUGUAGGGUCUUUAGCUCCUCCGAAAAGGCCCUGAACUCGUUAAAUUCAAGUGAUACUUGCACCGUAUCUAGGCUCGUACCCUUAGUAUUCACUAGCAAAAGGGCCCGUGCGUUGCACGGGGUGUACAAAAUAUAUAUAUAUGUUUAGACAGUUGGAAAAAACUACCACAAGGAUAAGAUAUUGCGUGGCCAACCAGUUUGAGAUAUUUCAAACGCGCUCAAGGAUAAGCAAUGAGAUAUUUGAAAGAUAUAUGCAGGUCAAGAAAGAGUACACAAUAUCGUUGUCAGUAGGUGCAACCAUGCAGAAACAACUGACCUCCAGUUCUACCAAAGAAAAGAUCCUCGCCACCACAGUUAAAAUCAUCAGCUCCUUUAGUCUUCAUAGUGAAAUUGAUAUGAUAGUACCUACGACCAUUGCCCCAGCAACUGAUUCCAAGCACACAACAUUUUUGAGUUCAUAUGUAAGAUCCUGAAAUUAAGAAACAUCAAUCUGGUCAGUAACCAACUGUUAGAUGAAUAUAUGACAACACAAUGCAAUCUUCUAAAAAAGAAGAAAAAAAUGAGUGCGGGAGAAAGGGUCAGAGAUCAAACCCCUGAAAGAUGGUGAUGAUCAUUAUACUUGUCCACCAAAGUUUGAACCAACUGGCGCUUCCAAUCACGCCUUUCAUCCAUCUGUUGCGAUUCUGAAAGCUUCUUCCUUGUGCCAUCAGGGAUUUCAACAUGCUCAAACUUGUGCAAUCCAAAGAAAUUUGCACAACUGCAGAUAUCAGAGAUUUCAAUCCACGUUACAGAACAAAAUCUCCAAACGUCACAGUUCAGAGUCCAAUCUACAGC
rnacentral:lncRNA from 1 species